CACAACAAAAAUUUAACAUUUGUACAAAAUUCAAAGAUAUUUCACAAAGACUCGGGAGAAAAAAAAUGACAAAAAAUGAGAUAAAAAUUAUUCAGGUUACGAUUAUGAUGAUAAUUAUGUUAGAUUUGACACAAGCCAAUUACAAUUCAUUUGCGGAAGUUGAGCCGCGCAAUGAUCCAACUAGUAUUCCUUGUAUUUAUACGUGUUGCAAUGAUUGUGCAAUUUUUCUAUGUGAUCCACCAAAGUUUAAAUCGUGUGUUGCUAAUUGUCUUGCACAAUGUAAUCAAAUGUCCAUUGAAGCCAUUGACAGAAACUUUGAUGUUCGUGAAUUUACAGCCCAUAUGAUGAAUUUUUACUUGCAAAAGUGUUCGAACAAACAAAAGAAUGAUCAAGAAAAAGGUACUUAGGUGAAAAAACAUGUAAACAUACAUAAUUGAAAUAAAUAAAUCUUAGUCGAUAAGUAA